rnacentral:rRNA from 1 species
UGGGGGAUAUUGCACAAUGGGCGAAAGCCUGAUGCAGCGACGCCGCGUGGGGGAUGAAGGCUUUCGGGUUGUAAACCUCUUUCGCUAUCGAACAAGGCCCGCUUAGGGUGGGUUGAGGGUAGGUGGAGAAGAAGCGCCGGCUAACUACGUGCCAGCAGCCGCGGUAAUACGUAGGGCGCGAGCGUUCUCCGGAAUUAUUGGGCGUAAAGGGCUUGUAGGCGGCUUGUUGCGCCUGCUGUGAAAACGCGGGGCUUAACUUCGCGCGUGCAGUGGGUACGGGCAGGCUUGAGUGUGGUAGGGGUGACUGGAAUUCCAGGUGUAGCGGUGGAAUGCGCAGAUAUCUGGAGGAACACCGAUAGCGAAGGCAGGUCACUGGGCCAUUACUGACGCUGAGGAGCGAAAGCAUGGGUAGCGAACAGG